ensembl:lncRNA
AGUACAUAUGUAUAUGUAUAUUUGUAGAGUAGGACCUUGUUUUAUGUGAACUCAACACAUGUGAAUUUAGGUAUACUUGAGAGGCAAUGAAAAAAUAAAGGCAGAAAAAUACAUAAAAUAAAAAUGUUUAAUUACACGCUAAAUCUAUGCCAUUUUCCCAAGUAGCAUAAAAUAUGGCAGCAGGUCACCAAUCGUGCUCAUUUUCAUUCUAAGAAGCAUUAGAGUGAGUCAUUGUGUUGCACCAAGCAUUAGGUCUCCAAUCAGUUUUUGUCCCGAGUUCUAGCCUGUGACAAGUCCUGUCCGCAUCAGAGCCCAGCUUCUCUUUGUUUCAUUAGCAUUCUUUAGUUAUUAAUAAUAGCCCCAAAGUAUAAGAGUGAUGAUGCUGGUAGCUCUGAUGAGCUAAGAAGAGCUGCAACGUGCCUAGAUAAGUUCAUAUAAGAAAUAUUUAUUAAAUAAUUAGGGGGUUACUAUUAUGUAUAAUUUUUAACUUAGAAGAAAUGUCUUAGAAUGUAUUAUGUAAAAUGAGGGCAUGUGUGUGUGUGUAUAAUGCUUUAAGACGUUAAGAUUUACAAUGUGCUGAAUACAGUCUCAUCUGAUCCUCACAACUCUUGUGAGGUAGGUGCUAUUGUUAUCUCCAUUUUACAGAAAGGGAAACUGAGGCUGAAACAAGUUAAGUGAUCUGCCCACAGUCCCAUGACUAGCAAGCAUCUGUGGCAGGAAUUGAACCUGCAUCUUCCUAACUCCUGGGACCGGUGCUCUGACCCACUAAGAAGCAGUUUAGUAAAAGUAACCACAGAUGUGGAAACUGAGGCAAAGAGGGUUAGGAGACUUGUCCAGGAUCACACAGCUAGCAAGUCCCUGAGCCUGGAUUUGAGCUUAGCUCUUCCUGGCCCCUGGCCUGGUGCUCUAUCCUGUACCAUCUAGAGGCCUAGAUAAUCGGUGGUCCUUGUAGAUUCCCGAUCACUCCAAGGACAUAGAUAAUACGUAGAGGCAAGUCCAGAUCAAGCCUUGUCUCCUCCUAAACACCACUGCCAUCACCCACUUAAGCGAGACUGACAGUAAAAAGAGUGACCGGGAACUGACACGGGGCUGGAGGCUGGCUAAGGAACGGGAAGGGGAGGAUAGGAUCUCCCUAGCCCAGAAGGACUGUUGGGCAGAUGCUCGGAGGUCGCUCAUUGGAGGUCCGGCCAUGUGGCUUUGAGACUCUGACCUCCUCCUUAAAAAACAACAAACAAAAACAAAGAGUGCUCCUUCCUGGAAAAACCACUGCUCUCCAGUUAUUCCCGAUCCUCCUUCUCUUCUCUCCUCCCAUCCCUUUGAAUUACCAGAAGCCAUAAUGUGAAAGACUGGAAGGAGAGAAAGAACAUCUGGGCCUUUUCUCCCACUCCAGUGACCAGAAGAUUCUUGGAAGACACACAGAUGGACAGAACGACACUUUCCACAGUACUUGGGCUGAGCCCAGGCUUUCCCGAGUCUUCACGGGUUUAUUACAGAUGAAAAACUAGCCCACCCCCCUGCCCCAGUGCUCCCAGGAAGCCCAGCCCAGUCCAGGUCAGGGGAAGAGCUCACAAGAGUCGUUGGCUCCGUUCUCAGCUGGCAUCUCACCUACAUACCUCCCAGGGCAGGACAGCCACCACCCAUGACGUCUUUCCUUGUCCCAGGCUCCUUUGGUCCCAGGCAGUUGGUGGCACAGGGGAUAGAGCCCUGGGCCUAGAGUCAGGGAAGGCGUGUGGCCAGGGCCCCGUAGUGAGCCGGUGACAAAACAGGGAAGAAAAAGACCCAAUACUAAACCGCUUCUUUCUCGGUGAACCUGCUGGAGUUGUGGCCCAAAUUUUUAUUAUUGCUUGGAGCUUAAAGUUCUCCCUUCCUUUUUGGUUUAUCAAGCAGGCCUCGGGGUCCUCAAGGAAUAAGGCAUAGGACGAGU